GACAGAGGGUGCAAACGUUGCUCGGAAUUACUGGGCGUAAAGCGCGUGUAGGCGGUCACGCAAGUCAGGUGUGAAAGCCCAGGGCUCAACCCUGGAAGUGCACAUGAUACUACGUGGCUGGAGUACUGAAGAGGAGAGCGGAAUUCCCGGUGUAGAGGUGGAAUUCGUAGAUAUCGGGAGGAACACCAGUGGCGAAGGCGGCUCUCUGGGCAGAUACUGACGCUGAGACGCGAAAGCGUGGGUAGCAAACAGG
rnacentral:rRNA from 1 species